rnacentral:snRNA from 1 species
AAGUCUGAGGGUGAUCUGGCUGCGACAUCUGUCACCUCAUUGAUUGCCAGGGUUGAUUUGGCUGAUCUGGGUGGCUAGGCAGGUGUCCCCUUCCUCCCUCAAUGCUCCACGUGCAUUCCUCCCAAAGCUGCAUGCUCAGUCAAAGAGGACAGCCUUCCCCGAUAGAGGAGGACUGGUCUUCGGUCAAGGGUAUACGAGUAGCUGCACUCCCCUGCUAGAACCUCCAAACAAGCUCCUAAAGCUCAUUUUUUCAACUUUUUCAGGAAACUGAUUAUUUCUAAAGCUAGGUUUUAUGAAGAAAAGUAGGACUUUUU